rnacentral:rRNA from 1 species
AAUGCGGAGGGAUCAUUACCGAGUUUACAACUCCCAAACCCAAUGUGAACCAUACCAAACUGUUGCCUCGGCGGGGUCACGCCCCGGGUGCGUCGCAGCCCCGGAACCAGGCGCCCGCCGGAGGGACCAACCAAACUCUUUACUGUAGUCCCCUCGCGGACGUUAUUUCUUACAGCUCUGAGCAAAAAUUCAAAAUGAAUCAAAACUUUCAACAACGGAUCUCUUGGUUCUGGCAUCGAUGAAGAACGCAGCGAAAUGCGAUAAGUAAUGUGAAUUGCAGAAUUCAGUGAAUCAUCGAAUCUUUGAACGCACAUUGCGCCCGCCAGUAUUCUGGCGGGCAUGCCUGUCCGAGCGUCAUUUCAACCCUCGAACCCCUCCGGGGGGUCGGCGUUGGGGAUCGGGAACCCCUCAGACGGGAUCCCGGCCCCGAAAUACAGUGGCGGUCUCGCCGCAGCCUCUCCUGCGCAGUAGUUUGCACAACUCGCACCGGGAGCGCGGCGCGUCCACGUCCGUAAAACACCCAACUUCUGAAAUGUUGACCUCGGAUCAGGUAGGAAUACCCGCUGAACUUAA